UACACAGAGAGUUUCAGGACAGCUA
rnacentral:misc_RNA from 1 species